GACAGGAGAACCUCAGGAAAGAUACAGCCUGACUGCUGGGAGUCCAGCUGUUAAUGGGAGGAAGGAGGAGACUGAAAUUCACUAAUGAAUUAUCUGCUCUGUCUGAAAAGAAAUGGAGACGUUGCUUCAGGUUGGGAAGCCAUGCUUCAAAAUCUCUCUGCUCAGCUGCAGAGUGGAGAUAUCUGGGAAUGCCCAAGGUACCAGGCCAGUGCUGGACCUCUUUGCACAGCCGAAACCUUUGAAUUCACCUGCAAGCAGAGGUGCCACAUUUCAGCACUUCAGGAGAGUUGAUCUAGAAAGUGGUAUUAAAGGGAAGAGUGAGAGUA